ensembl:lincRNA
GCUGGCCGUUGGGCAGCACCGGCCUCGGGAGGUUAGGUCUGCGGCCUUGCCUGCUUGGCCUGGCUCCAAGACAACACGGAACCCCAUGAGGGGUCGCCCACGCCUGUCUCCUUCCACGCAGUUUGAAAUAAAGGUGGUGAGGGGCCUCCAGGACCUCUCCAACCACCUGGGCGAGGGCUCGGCCCGAGGCGAGCAGGGGGAGGGCAAGGAGAGCUUGAAACGCCGCAGCAUCACCUCUGCAGGUGUAUAAGGGGAAACAUGCCCCUGUCCGAUGAACGGAGAGCCUCAGUAGAGCCGAGUUUAUUUGGAAAAAAUUCCACAUCUCAUCUGAGAGAUGCUGGACCAUCCCAGAUCACUCCACAGCCUGCCUGGAUGACUGCACCUCUUCGUUCUGUCUUCAGGUUAGGUGUGGAGGUAUCAUGGCUUCCCCUCCCUACCCUCAACCUGAAUGGGGAAUGUGCCUCUGCUGAAGGAGAGAAGUUUUCCCCCAUUCCCUCAAUAUGUCCAGAAGUGCUUAGCCCAGCACGUCCUCUCAGUUAUUUCAGAAAUUUUCUUUGCUCUCAAAUAGUUUUGUUACCUCCCGCCAGAUGUCAAUGAGGCGUAACUGUGCACUGAGCUUACUGUCUGUAAUGCCUAAUAACCAGUGAAUUUACUCUUUGUAACUCCUGUAAGCUCGCCCCCUCCUGAGAGUAUAACCUGCCCUGCUCAACCCCAAAGGGUCAGUCUCUUGUUGUGUGAACCCAGGCUGACCCACCAGUGCUAAGAAUAAAGCUUGUUUUACACUUUGCCUCCGAGACUCCUAGUGUGCUUUCUGUCUCCGAGAAGAACUACAGCGGGAGAACUGUAGAGCAUACAAAACUUUAGGCUUCAAAUACUCCCCUUCCUAUAAGUAAAGUCUGACUGCAUGCUAGAGCCAACUCUCACAGAAGCAGCCUCUCAUUCUCAGGGGGCAAAUCCAUGCACUCACUGUUCCUUGUGCCGCAGCAUUAGUCUUGAUAAGUCUUUUGGAUGACAGGUUUGCCUAUUUGUGGUUUAUAAUUUGAAUAGAGCAGGCUGACCUUGUACUUAACAGCUGAGAACACCACUGAGGGCAACUAAGAGCCAGAGAAGGAAGGAGACCAAUGGAGAAUUGCUGGGAGUUACCAUCUUCAGUCUCCAGAAGAGUACCUGAGGGCUGCUGGUUUUAGUUGUCAGGAGAAUGGUGUAGGGCCACUAACUCUUGAGAGCUGGUGCUGGUAUUCAAAGCUCAGGGCUGUUAAAACUGAAGAAAGCUAGUUACACUUUGCCUAUUUGUGAUUUCUGUCUGAGCGUAGCAAGAGAACCUCAGAUGUUUGGUAUCAAAAUCAAAAGGUAACCAAGGAAUUUGAAUCAAGAAAAACACCUGAGGACAAAUGUGCACACCUGUAAUCUCAGCACUCUGAAACUGAAGCCAGAUUGUAAGUUUGAGCCCAGGCUGGACAACUUACCCAGACCUCUCUCAAAACAUGAAAGGGGGCUAGAGAUGUGUCUCAGUGUAAAGGCUCUGGAUUCCACCCUCAGCCCCCCAAAAAGCUCAAUGUUCUAUUGAUGACCUACAACAACUGAGGAGUCCCUGAAAGAGGAAAUAGACAAGGUUUAUAGCCAAUUUAUAGUAGAAUGGGCAGGGCCAAGUCGAAAAUUAACAAGGAAAAUAAUAUACAUAGAUGGAUCCAGUUUUGCCACAUUUAAAUGACAAAAGUUAUAGAAACAACAGAAAGAAUGGUGGUGAUAUAAUACAGAGAUGAGCUAUGCAGUCAGAUAGGGCCAAGUCCUCAAGAGGGCCAGGAUAAAGGUGAAACACAACACAGCUGAAAACUAGGCCUCAAGAUGGAGACAAGAUGACCAGACACACAUACUUCUUCAAAGAACUGGGCUUAGUGAAGUAUACAUAGCAUCGACCACCCCAGUGGGUGACCAGACACCUCUGGACCCACCGCAUCCUUGGAGAAUCCUUGUUCUUUCCAUCCAUGCUUACUAUGUGACUUGCUUUCCAAUUGGAGCACCAUUACCUAAGUGACCAUACUUGUAACCUUAUUGGAUGUUCAUGGCUGUGGCCCACAUGGUACCCAUGUGGGUUUCACCCUAUAAAACUCUAUAAAGUGGGGUCCUUGGCUACCCACUCGGGACCCCUCCUGCCCCUCAGGAGCUUUCCUUCAAUAAAUAUCUUUCUACUUUUAACCUCUGUCAUGACUAAAUUGAUUUCUAGAGAAGAACUUGGUGAAUCAUGCAGCUAACAGGUUGGGAGAUAUAUUUCAUGUUUCCCAUGACAGAGGGCUGGGCAAGAUAAAACUGUCCCAUGGUUGCACAA